rnacentral:misc_RNA from 1 species
AAACAUCAAGCACCUUUACUAUAAAUAGUUUCGAGAAAUUGUUCAAAAAAUAGGGGUAUACUAUAACAGCAAUCGAACAGAUAAGAUAAAUUGACUUGUAAUGCUGCUAUGAAAAGCAAUAAAAGCAAAACAAGAAAACGCAUAAUAACCUUUUCGGUGCUGGGAAAGAGACCGCGAAGAGUAGCGAGAUGGGCGUUAAUCCUCUCUCUCCUCCUCCUUUCUGCCUCACUAUGGCUCUUCAGA